GGUUCGAUGGCGUAGUUGGUUAUCGCAUCUGUCUAACACCUACCACCUCGAUGGUACACAGAAGGUCCCCGGUUCGAGCCCGGGUCGAAUCA
rnacentral:tRNA from 1 species